GAUGAACGCUGGCGGCGUGCCUAAUACAUGCAAGUCGAGCGAACCGAUUAAGAGCUUGCUCUUAAGAAGUUAGCGGCGGACGGGUGAGUAACACGUAGGUAACCUGCCUAUAAGACUGGGAUAACUACGGGAAACCGGGGCUAAUACCGGAUAACAUUUUGCACUGCAUGGUGCGAAAUUGAAAGGCGGCUUCGGCUGACACUUAUAGAUGGACCUGCGGCGCAUUAGCUAGUUGGUGAGGUAACGGCUCACCAAGGCGACGAUGCGUAGCCGACCGGAGAGGGUGAGCGGCCACACUGGGACUGAGACACGGCCCAGACUCCUACGGGAGGCAGCAGUAGGGAAUCUUCCGCAAUGGACGAAAGUCUGACGGAGCAACGCCGCGUGAGCGAUGAAGGCCUUCGGGUCGUAAAGCUCUGUUGUUAGGGAAGAACAAGUGCUAGUUGAAUAAGCUGGCACCUUGACGGUACCUAACCAGAAAGCCACGGCUAACUACGUGCCAGCAGCCGCCGUAA
rnacentral:rRNA from 1 species